rnacentral:tRNA from 1 species
GGUACUAUAGUAUAAUGGAGAUUAUAACGGUCUGUCGCACCGAAGAUCGGGGUUCGAUUCCCCGUAGUACCGCCA